rnacentral:tRNA from 1 species
GGUUGUGGCUCAGUGGUACAGUGCUUGCCUAGCAUGUAUGAGGCACUGGAUUCGAUUCUCAGCACCA